rnacentral:rRNA from 1 species
CUGCGGUGAAUACGUUCCCGGGUCUUGUACACACCGCCCGUCAAACCAUGAAAGUGACCAACGCCCGAAGUCCGAUUCGUCGGCCUAAGGUGGGGGGCAUGAUUGGGGUU